GUGUUCACUUUGGCAGCACAUAUACUAAAAUUAGAAUAAUACAGAGACGAUUAAUAUGGCCUCUGUGCAAAAAUGGCACACAUAUUUGUUAAGCGUUCAUAUAGUUU